AGUACAUUGAUAUCCGUCUUAGUUUUCAACAUAGAAGCCGUUUUGUGAAUACGCAAAGUAGGCGCUUGAGCCCUGGUCAUUUUAGAUGCCAAUAACUCAAAAUCUAUAUAUACACGUGUGAGAAAUGAGGUGGGUAAUGGCUGGAGAAUUGAAUUUCCAAUAAUUUGACAUUAAAAAAAACUGAGUUAACUGACCCCCUGAUAUUUACCCCGGGGCGCUAAUGAAGGCGUGGCCCUUAUGAUGUCAUGAUGCAUACCAUCGGAUGCAGAAUGGAAAAAUGCACAAUUUGGCUUUCUGUGCUUUGUCCUACUAUUGGCAAAAACCAAUCAGGUUGAUUAGAGAAUAUGGACAAUCAUUUGGUCAUGGUGUGAUAUCAAUAAAUCUUG